rnacentral:rRNA from 1 species
CUAUGGGGGCCGUCUAUGAUGCAGUCGAGCGGAUCGAUGGGAGCUUGCUCCCUGAGAUCAGCGGCGGACGGGUGAGUAACACGUGGGUAACCUGCCUGUAAGACUGGGAUAACUCCGGGAAACCGGGGCUAAUACCGGAUAACACCUACCCCCGCAUGGGGGAAGGUUGAAAGGUGGCUUCGGCUAUCACUUACAGAUGGACCCGCGGCGCAUUAGCUAGUUGGUGAGGUAAUGGCUCACCAAGGCGACGAUGCGUAGCCGACCUGAGAGGGUGAUCGGCCACACUGGGACUGAGACACGGCCCAGACUCCUACGGGAGGCAGCAGUAGGGAAUCUUCCGCAAUGGACGAAAGUCUGACGGAGCAACGCCGCGUGAGUGAAGAAGGUUUUCGGAUCGUAAAACUCUGUUGUUAGGGAAGAACAAGUGCCGUUCGAAUAGGGCGGCGCCUUGACGGUACCUAACCAGAAAGCCACGGCUAACUACGUGCCAGCAGCCGCGGUAAUACGUAGGUGGCAAGCGUUGUCCGGAAUUAUUGGGCGUAAAGCGCGCGCAGGUGGUUUCUUAAGUCUGAUGUGAAAGCCCACGGCUCAACCGUGGAGGGUCAUUGGAAACUGGGGAACUUGAGUGCAGAAGAGGAAAGUGGAAUUCCAAGUGUAGCGGUGAAAUGCGUAGAUAUUUGGAGGAACACCAGUGGCGAAGCGACUUUCUGGUCUGUAACUGACACUGAGGCGCGAAAGCGUGGGGGAGCAAACAGGAUUAGAACGCGUGCGUAUGUAUUCACCAA